rnacentral:tRNA from 1 species
ACAGCCGCCGCCUAACAUUCGGCCACUCU